rnacentral:lncRNA from 1 species
UCAGUUGUCUGUGCCAGUGUUGUCCACAUCGUCACUGACUCAAUGGGUGUAGAGAACUUCUUCUUCACCAAAAUAAAAACAACGAGACAGUGGGUCUUUCUUCACUUCCUCUUGCCACCUCAUUCUCAAAACAUUACUAGGUACGAAGGACAGUAUUGGAGGAGACAACGCUUCCAGAGAGAGGAGAAAGAGCUUCCUUAUCGAGAGGGAGGUGGGAGAACGCUGGGCUUGAGGAUACAAGGCACCAAGGAAAGAUCAAGAAAAAGCCCUUAUGUGAAUAUGAAUCAGCGUGAGUUAAAUUUGAAUAAAUGCCAUUCUGUGGGUGUUAUUAAUUUUAUGAAGUGAUAAGAGCAUAGUUCUCUGCCAAGUUAGUAGAUUUCUUCAACUAACUGAUUAAACAGGUUGUUCCAGAAAUCAAAUCGUUGUGUGAGGUCAUCCGUUGUGUAGGGUGUGUGUGUGUGUGUGUGUGUGUGUGUGUGUUUUACUAUCCUUGUGGGGUCCAGAAGUCCAGAAGUCCUCACAAGGAUAGUAAAACAAGAAAAAAAAGGCUAUUUUAGCCUUAGGGGUUAGGAUUAGAAUUAGGAUUAGGGUUAGGAUUAGGAUUAGGGUUGAAUUGGGAUUAGGAUUAGGGUUAGAAUUAGGAUUAGGGUUAGAAUUAGGAUUAGGGUUAGAAUUAGGUUUAGGGUUGAAUUAGAAUUAGUAUUAGGUUUAGAAUUAGGAUUAGUUUAGGGUGAAAUGGACACUUUACAUGAGCAAAGGGAUGGAAAGGGAGUGUAUCACAUGCUUAUACCCCUCCAGCCCUUACCGCCUGGCCCUGGUCGUUUAAAAUGGGAAGCUAGCUGAUAAGGCUGUUACCGACUGUUCCGGCCCUUACCACCUGGUUCAUUCUGAAUGGGAAGCUAGCUGUUACCGACUGUUCUGGCCCUUACCACCUGGUUCAUUCUGAAUGGGAAGCUAGCUUUUACCGACUGUUCUGGCCCUUACCACCUGGUUCAUUCUGAAUGGGAAGCUAGCUGUUACCGACUGUUCUGGCCCUUACCACCUGGUUCAUUCUGAAUGGGAAGCUAGCUGUUACCGACUGUUCUGGCCCUUACCACCUGG